rnacentral:rRNA from 1 species
GAAAUGCGAUAAGUAGUGUGAAUUGCAGAAUUCAGUGAAUCAUCGAAUCUUUGAACGCACAUUGCGCCCCUUGGUAUUCCAUGGGGCAUGCCUGUUCGAGCGUCAUUUGUACCUUCAAGCUCUGCUUGGUGUUGGGUGUUUGUCCUUGCUCCUAGGGAGUAGGACUCGCCUUGAAGUAAUUGGCAGCCAGUGUUUUGGUUUGAAGCGCAGCACAAGUCGCGAUUUAAGCUGAAUCAAUAGCUCUCCAUUAAGACAUCUAUCACUUUUGACCUCGGAUCAGGUAGGGAUACCCGCUGAACUUAAGCAUAUCAAUAAGCGGAGGAAAAGAAACCAACAGGGAUUGCCCCAGUAACGGCGAGUGAAGCGGCAACAGCUCAAAUUUGAAAUCUGGCUCUUUCAGGGUCCGAGUUGUAAUUUGCAGAGGGCGCUUUGGUGUUGGCAGCGGUCCAAGUUCCUUGGAACAGGACGUCACAGAGGGUGAGAAUCCCGUACGUGGUCGCUAGCCUUCGCCGUGUAAAGCCCCUUCGACGAGUCGAGUUGUUUGGGAAUGCAGCUCUAAAUGGGAGGUAAAUUUCUUCUAAAGCUAAAUACUGGCCAGAGACCGAUAGCGCACAAGUAGAGUGAUCGAAAGAUGAAAAGCACUUUGGAAAGAGAGUCAAAUAGCACGUGAAAUUGUUGAAAGGGAAGCGCUUGCAGCCAGACUUG